AGCUGUGGUAACUGAAGGGAUCUAGGAAUGAUGAACCAGAGACCACAUUUUCUACUGAUCCGAAAAGCCAGAGAUUUGACUGCCUAGGGAUUUUUAUUUCCCAUCUGACUGGCAGAUGUGCUUGGCCAUCUUGAUCCAGUGCAUAGGAUGACACAGCUGAAAGGAGGCUGGGGGACUGCAGAGACAGAGCCAUUGUGUCUAAUCCCGUGCCUCAAAGCCCUGGAAGAUCCACUCAGCUGCAGAUUCCACCACAUGCUAUCCUCACUUGUUAUAUCUCCUCUUCAACUUCCAAUCUGAUUCAACAGGACAAGGACCUGCUGUGUUUGGAUAGUGUGUAGCAAUUCAGCUUCCUACAGUUUAAGGCCAUCAGGUGUUAUUACAUAAAACAAAGAAUAAUAAUCCUAUUUCUCAUAUUUAUAGUGUCUGUUAUUAACCUAAGCUAUUCCUAUCCCUCCUUGAUGUUUACAGUAUCUAACAUGGAUUUAUAGACAUUUGUCCCAACUAUAAAUACUAUUUUUUGUACUUAAAAAAUCUAUCCCAGUGAUGUUCCUUGUAGGGCAAUGUCUUCAGUUCUCCAUUUGUCAGACUUUUUAAUGAUAGAACUGUCAUGAAAGCAGCUCCAAGAAGCAUGGUUAUUGUGUAUGGAAAAGAAAUAAACCUUGUCAUAACUGUGUCAUUAGAGAAAUAUAAUGGCCACGUAAUAAUUUUCCAAAAUGUAUGUGAUUUCUUUUGGCUCCCCUGGGAUAUCAGGUCUAAUUCUUUAUGCACACAGAAAGGCUGAUCAUGUCUGAAUUUAAAUUACAUAAAUAACCCUAAUUUCCUGAUAAACAAAGGAGAAAAACAUUAGCUCACAGAUUUUUAGGCUCUUAGACUGUUUGGGUUGGAUGAUUUUCUGGACAUUCCUAAACUGACCACAGAGAGCUAUCGGUUUUGUAUAUAUAGAGUGAGUAAUGAGACCUUAAAUAACUUUAAUAUACAAGUUGUUCCUAAUUAGAACUGAUCAUAAUUUCUGAUUCUUGAAUGUUGAAAACAGGACUAGGACAAGAUAGUCAAGAGGAAGUAUGAACAAGAGAUUUAUAUGGUAAAUAUUAUGCUAUGCCGGUACAGGUGUUGGCAGGUGUGUAAGAUACGGGGUCAAGGCCCUGAAUGGUGCAUUGCAUAAAAACUAGUCACAAUCUGGCCUGCUAGAAACAGGCUUGAAUUAAAACCUUCAGUAUGAAGAAUCGGUGAAUUAAAAUAUCCAGUAAUGUGACUUCUUCCAUUGGUAAAUAUUUUUGCUCCAUCAAUUUCAGCCCACAAAAUCUUCCAGGACCUUAUGAGAAUUUGCUAGGACAAAAAUGGCCCCAACUCAUCAGAAGAACAGCAAUUAACAGUCUGUUUGAUACCCUAUACCAAAGGCUCCAGGAGAAUCUAUCCUGCAGUUGACCCUGUGAUGUCAGCAGCCAUUCCAUGUGUUCAGGGCUGCUCAGCUCUAACACUCAUUUGAUCACAAGCCAGGCCUGCUGAUUACUGAAUGUCAAGGAAAACAAGAAAAACCGAGUAGAUAACACAUCAUUGUGCAGAGGAAGGAUUGUUGCUGAGAGAGUUCAAAAAGAAUAUUUUGGAUGUGAGUCAAGAAAAAGUUGAGAUUAUUUGAAAAAGAGUAUAAGGUGAAAGGAUAUGCCAGUGAAAAGGUCAAAAAGGAAGUUUAAGGAAAAAACAACUUGUCUUAGAUAUUUGAGAACCUUGAAUUAACAUACUAAGGCUUGAUAUUGUUGCAAAGAACCAGCAGCUUUCUCAAUCAAAUCCUAUUAGGCUAUUGUGUUUACACAAGGUACGACUAACAAAUUCUGAAGUCCUUGCUCAUAUACAGCAGGUCUUGAAGAAAACCCGUGCUGGAUCCUACAAUGCGGUUCUUACUGAACUGCAUCAGAAGAGUAAGAUAGGUGUAACUAGAUACCAAAUGUAAUAUUUGAAACUUCUUAGACUCUCACAUAAACUGUUAUUUACAUUUAAAUAAAUAACAGUUUGCGUUAGUUAUGCAGUUCCCUAAAAGAAAAAAACAAACUACGGGGCAAGAUGACCGGUUAAGAAAGGACACAAUUUUGAAAUAAAAUUAUGCUUGCAUUAGUCCUUUUACAGCUCUUCAAAGU